rnacentral:misc_RNA from 1 species
CCAAUAGCAUAUAUUAAAGUUGUUGCAGUUAAAAAGCUCGUAGUUGAAUUUCGGGAUCAGUAGGUCGGUCGUGCCACUGGUAUGAACUGGUCUCACUGGUUCCUCCCUCUUGACGAACUGCAAUGCUAUUAAUUUAGUGUUGUAGGAAAUCAGGACUGUUACUUUGAAAAAAUUAGAGUGUUUAAAGCAGGCUUUGGCUUGAAUACACUAGCAUGGAAUAAUGAAAUAGGACGUUCGAUCCUAUUUUGUUGGCUUCUAGGAUUGACGUAAUGAUUAAUAGGGACAGUUGGGGGCAUUAGUAUUCAAUUGUCAGAGGUGAAAUUCUUGGAUUUAUUGAAGACUAACUACUGCGAAAGCAUUUGCCAAGGAUGUUUUCAUUAAUCAAGAACGAAAGUUAGGGGAUCGAAGACGAUCAGAUACCGUCGUAGUCUUAACCAUAAACUAUGCCGACUAGGGAUCGGAUGAUGUUAAUUUUUUAAUGACUCAUUCGGCGCCUUACG